GCACACAAACAUCUAGCAACAGAAUGCAGCCCUCUGACGCCAGUUCCCAGGAUGCAGAGCUCAGCAGGGCAGUGCAGAGUGUGUCUGGAGAGGCACACAAACAUCUAGCGACAGAAUGUAACCCUCUGAGGUCAGUUCCCAGGAGGCAGAGCACAGCAGGGCGGUGUGGAGUGUGUCUGGACGGGCACACAAACAUCUAGCGACAGAAUGUAACCCUCUGAGGUCAGUUCCCAGGAGGCAGAGCACAGCAGGGCGGUGUGGAGUGUGUCUGGACGGGCACACAAACAUCUAGCGACAGAAUGUAACCCUCUGAGGUCAGUUCCCAGGAUGCAGAGCACAGCAGGGUGGUGCGGAGUGUGUCUGGACGGGCACACAAACAUCUAGCAACAGAAUGCAACCGUCUGAGGCCAGUUCCCAGGAUGCAGAGCACAGCAGGGCGGUGUGGAGUGUGUCUGGAGAGGCACACAAACAUCUAGCAACAGAAUGCAGCCCUCUGAGGCCAGUUCCCAGGAUGCAGAGCUCAGCAGGGCAGUGUGGAGUGUGUCUGGACGGGCACACAAACAUCUAGCAACAGAAUGCAGCCCUCUGAGGCCAGUUCCCAGGAUGCAGAGCUCAGCAGGGUGGUGCGGAGUGUGUCUGGACGGGCACACAAACAUCUAGCGACAGAAUGCAACCCUCUGAGGCCAGUUCCCAGGAUGCAGAGCACAGCAGGGUGGUGCGGAGUGUGUCUGGACGGGCACACAAACAUCUAGCGACAGAAUGCAACCCUCUGAGGCCAGUUCCCAGGAUGCAGAGCUCAGCAGGGUGGUGUGGAGUGUGUCUGGACGGGCACACAAACAUCUAGCGACAGAAUGCAACCCUCUGAGGCCAGUUCCCAGGAUGCAGAGCUCAGCAGCUCAGGGUAGAGUGUGUCUGGAGGGGCACACAGACAUCUAGCACUACUUGCUGGUUCUGAUCCUCGUUUUUCUUUUUUUUCUCGAUGAAACAUUCAAGUUCCCAACAGAAGAGAAAUACAAAGUUCUAGCAGCAGUAGUUUUGAAUGAUGAUUUCAAUCCAGUUACACUCCCACUGGGACCCUCUAUAGAAAUGCAAGCCACCAUCAAUGCCCUUCCUAUGUGGUGGCAAGAAAAAUGGGAGAAAAAGUAUAAUUAGUCAACAUAAAACACAGCUGCCAUAUUCCUCACUUCUGAAGGAGGGCACAAAGCCUAAAUAUAGAAUUCCAGCCUCCCCCUGCCACCAGCAUUGUAAAAUGGAUGAUCCACUUUGCCAUCUCCUCUGCUGGUUUGACAGGUGGGGUGAUCUGAAUCUGCCUUCUAGUAGAAUCCAAUUUUCAGUGGCUUUCUCCUUAUUUAGGGGUCACAGUUUCCCAUUGACAAAUGCAAUGAACAUCAUAGGCUGGUGAAUUCGGCGUGUUUACAACACAGUGUUGCUGCCCCACUGGGUAGGAGCACCCACUUUCCGAAGGGAGGGACUGUGGUAUUCAGGACAACAGUCCCUGCCCUGCCAAGUGGUGUCAACACUGGAGAGGUGAAAGUGUCCUGGGAACAGCCUCAGCCUCCUUCUUACAGAAGCAUGGCCAUCUUCUCCAGUAGAGGAAAACCUCCUUUGCUCACUACAUCUCCAAAUCCAGCAUACCCAAGUCCUGGGGGUGGAAGAAACACAUCCUUCCAGUGAGGUUGUCAGUGGGAGAGCCCAAUUCCCAUUCGAGUCUGUGCGUUCUGUGCCUUCUGACUGAGGGAAAUGGCAUGCAUCGGACUUGGUGUAAGACACACUCUCCCGGGUGGACAAUGCCCCACCCGGACAGCUGUGCACCCUGACACAUCCACCAUACCGCGCAUCCUGGGCCUCUGGGUGGUGGGUAACUGGCGAUGGCAGUGAGUCCUGGGCCACAUCCAGGGCUGUGCUGCCUCCCCAGCAUGGGCUGGAGGGGAUGCCCAGCUUCUCUGGGGAGGGGCAGGCACACUUCAAUCUGGAAGGCUGCUGUGAGCACAGCAUGGCAGGGCGGGAAGGCAAGGCCAUGGCAUUGGCUCCAAGGUGGGGCAGGCAGUGGAGAGUGAACCUGGAGGCAGACAGACCACUAAGCAGUGCACCUGCUGACCAUUCUAGAACUUUCCUUCAUACCCUGUUCUCACUAUUGUAAUUUUUGUCAUUAUUUUCUAAUAGCAAAAAAAUAAAAAUUUAAAACUUCAGGCCUCAGACAGAAGUAACUUUGUUUGCUGUUUUUUACCAAUCCAACACAUACACUUCUCAGUAGACCGAGGUGUACCCAGGGCCCAUGAGCUCCUCCCCAACAAUGAGAAGAAAGAGCCAUAAACCCCUGAGACCAGUUUAUGUUCCUAAACCCAAAACAAAAAGGGCAUUUUAUUAUUUUUUUUUGAGUCAGAGUCUCGCUCUGUCACCCAUACUGGAGUGCACUGGCGCGAUCUCAGCUCACUGCAAGCUCCGCCUCCCA
rnacentral:lncRNA from 1 species